AGGCUAUCCAGAAAAGAGAUUAGAAAACCUGACACAGUCUCUGUUCUCAGAGUGCCAGACAAUUUUCAGCUAAUGAGCUUUAGGAAGAAUUUUAUUCCCUUGGAAAACUGUUUCAUGAGCAUCAACUCCAAAGCCUUCAUGUCAUGUAGAUGAAAAUACCCAGCCAACAGUGUCUUGCAAAAAGAUGUAAUUGGCAAAGUAACCUGGUGUGGUGGAUGGACCGGAGGCUUGGCAGUUACAGCAUUUAUGUCAUCAGAUCCCUUGACUUCUCCUUGACCAGUGUGCUUCCUUCUGUUUACACCUGAAAGCUAAGUGGAAAAGAAAUAAAUGAGCCUUCAAAUGUAAGGUAUGGUUGGAAACAAGGGAGCUGCUGCUUGAAGACUUCUACUUGUGUAGCUCUGUUUGUACUUUCCAUCAUGUGCUCCCUAGGCUUUGCAGUGAGCUUGCUUACCCAGUGCUUUUCCUUGCCCUAUUUAAAUG